UGCGUAGGGGGCGAGCGUUGUCCGGAAUGACUGGGCGUAAAGGGUGCGUAGGCGGCCCGAGAGGUCCUGGGUGAAAGGCCCCGGCUCAACCGGGGAGGGCCCCAGGAAACCGGCGGGCUAGAGGGCUGGAGAGGGCCGCGGAAUUCCCGGUGUAGCGGUGAAAUGCGUAGAUAUCGGGAAGAACACCAGUGGCGAAGGCGGGUCUCUGGACAGUUCCUGACACUGAGGCACGAAGGCCAGGGGAGCAAACGGG
rnacentral:rRNA from 1 species